GCGAUAACAGGGUGAACAAUAAUUUUUAAUUUUUAUCAAAAAUUUGGAAAUUUGAUAAGGCAUUCCGAUCCGGUUGUGUUGAAGAACAAGUGCUAUCAAGAUGUCCAAAAGAACGGAGAGUGAUGAAAUUGAAGAUAGUGAAGAAAUUAGUAGAAUUAAUAAAAAACUGAAAACUUGUUCCUUCAAUUACUUGGAGCAUAAAAUUCAAAAGGAAUAUGGUGGAGGUCUCAUCAUGUGUGUUAAGGAAAAUAAUGCGGAUGACGGAAGUAUUAGUGUUCCAUCUUCUAGUCACUGUCCUUUUCCUGCAAACUCAAAUUUUCAUCCUGAAAAAGACAUUUCAAUAGAAAAGGACGAAAAUUUCGAAGAUUUGAAAACAAAAGAUGAAGAUGAAUUGAGCUUAAGUAACGAGUCUGUCGGCGAUGUCGAAAACUCGGAAGAACUAGAACUUUCAGAACUGGAAGAAUUACUUGACGCAGAUCUCCCAACAGAGUAUAAAAAACCUGCCGAUAGCAUUAUUCAGAAAUUGAACGAAAGAAAAAAGAAAGACGGCGAUUUUGUAGAAGUUGAAAAAAUAAUUUUAGAUGAUAUUACAGGAGAUCAUUUUGAUUUAUUACCAGAAGGAUGGAUGCAAAUGAUACAUCAUAUUGGAAUACCAGUGUAUUUAAACAGACCGACACGAGUUUGCACCUUGGCUAGACCUUAUUUUUUAGGUUCUGGAAACGCCUAUAACCACAGAAUACCUCUUUCAGCAAUACCAUGUUUACAGUAUCGUAAAGCCAUUGAUAAAAUUGCUCAGACUAACAUAGAAGACUGUUCUCGAGUCAUUGGAAACCUACGAGUGCCUAUCACUAAAGUGGAAACUGUUCACGAAAAUCAUCUCUCACAAUCCUUAGACGCAACAGAGGUUCGAGAAUAUUGCCAAAAAUUAUUCAAGUUUAAGAAGGUUCAUUUAAAACACAGCUCGAAACACAAACAGUCUAAAACAGUGAAAAAUACUAACAUAUUCAAAGACCGUCCAAGUUUACCCGCUGGCACGAAAUUGAUUUCUUUUCCGAUUUUCGAAAGAGACGGAAAAGGAGAAGUGAUUCGUCGAAGAGAGUGGAUUAUGAAUCCUAGCGGUAAAAGCUACAUUGCUAUUCUGCACGAAUACUUACAGCAAUCUUUGAAGCUGCAGCCUCUUUACGAAUACAAAGAGAAUGAUAAUAAUGAAUAUGAAGCAAUUGUUUUCUUGAAAGGCAUGGAAUACGGAAAAGGAAAGGGCAGUAGCAAAAAAGAAGCAAAAUUACAAGCUGCAAAAAUCACUUUAGAGAUGUUAAUUCCGGAAUUAGAUGGUAAAGCUGAAGAAAUUUGUGGUUUAAAUGUGAAAAAAGUAAUCAGCAACGAAUCUGUUCUUCAUUCCAACAAUGUAGGUUCAAUUAUAUGUACAUUUCUUUUAUCAAUAUGCUUUUUUAUUCUUCAUUUUUAUAUCGUAAUUUUUGCUUGGCAGAUAUUUGAUGAAAUUAAAAUCACUGAUCCAAGAGUUGCAGAAUUUUGUGCCAGAACAACUGAACCUUCCCCGUAUUCUAUGUUACUCACAUGUCUGCGGAGAAAUUGUGGUACGAUUGAGGUGAAAAUAAAUUAUAACGUCAGUUUGAAACAUAACAAAAACAAUCAGUUUACUAUGACGGUUGGAAAGCACACGGUAACAGUCCACUGCCGUAAUAAAAGGGAUGGAAAACAAAAGGCCGCUCAAGCUAUUUUACAAGCUUUACAUCCGCAAUUGAAAACUUGGGGAUCCUUGGUACGUUUAUAUGGAAAUAGAAGUAUCAAGAACGCCAAAGAAAAAAAAAUGGAAGAACAAGAAAUUACUCAAUUACAAACACAAGCGAAGAUUAACUCUCCUAAUUACGCUAUUUUAAAUAAACUUAAUGAAGAAUUAGAAAAAUUACUUCGUAAAAAAUUGGAAUUGAAACCGGUUGGAAUGUUGGUUACUUCCGAUGUACCUAGAAGCUCUGGUGUUAAUUUGAAUCCAUUGAAUUACUCUUAGUUUUUAUGUUUUAAUUAUAUGUGUGAAUAUGUUUCACAUUUUUUUUCCAGAAAAUGCAGUUGUAGCUGAUAAUUGCGGAAUCGCAUAAAUUGGUGAUUCAGUUAGAAAUCCUAAUCUGGAAUAACGCGAAAAUGUUGAAUACGUCGAAUAGAAUUUUAUUGCAAAGA